rnacentral:lncRNA from 1 species
CAUAAACUAAAAAAUAGACAAGGAAGUCUAAAGAAUUCACCAGAGACAGAGAUAUCUACCAGAGGAAAAGAAUUUCUCUGAGUACAGUUAUGCUGGAAAGAUAUAUUACUGCUCUUUUUCUUUUCUUCUUUUUUUCUUUCCUUUUCCCUUUUUUCUUGGCGUAGCAAAUAAAAUAAAUUUCAGGCACGACUGGCCUCUUUCCUCUCACAAUUUUCCAUCUUUACUUUUAUGUCUUUUUUCCCCAAAUGCCAGAUUCACUUUUCUUACUAACAUUAUUUCAACUCAUCAAAUAUUCUACUUCCCUUCCUUCAAAAUUUACUUCAAAAUCAGUCUUCUCUAGAAUGCACACCAAGCAAGUUGAAAAUAGAGACAUCUGCCAGAAAUUAAUGAAAACGUUCUUGGUAGUCCCCAAGAAACAGAGGGGUUACAUGAAGAAAAAAAGUAUGAGCAAACUUUUGCAACUAUUUAUAAUGCACCAGAUGCGGUUCUUGCUGUUUUGCUUUGUUUUGCACAUGUAACAGAGCAGGAUAAAAAAUGGUUGAAGGAAAAGGGGAUUUUGGAUCUUCUGAUUUUUACUAGAAUGUAAUCACUACAAAAGUAGGGUUUUUGUCUUACUGCUGAAUUUCCAACAUAAAACAGUUUCUGAAACAUGUUAGGUGCUUGAUAAAUAUCUAUAGAAUGAGUCAAUGAUUAUUGAAGAGUGACUUUGGACAUAAAAUCAGGAGCACAGCAAUGAAACAGAUGAUACUGUUGUCUUGCCUUAAUGAGUCCUUCUUUAUCCACAGGUAGAAUCAAUGAAGGAAAUAUUCUACAAGUCGUUCGGACAAAGCACUAUUUAGUAAUAUGGACGUGACAUGAGCUUAAAGAUAAUGUGACCAUUGUCAUUUUGGAAAAUAAUCUUCUAAUAUCAUAAAGAGACCAUUUUCCAGUAAAAAGAAAGAAAAAGAAAAAGAAGAAAGAGCUGAAGUAGGAGUAUCUUUUCAACUGAUACAAUGCUUCAAGGUAUAUUUGUUUUCCAUUCUUUCACAAAGGUAAGUACGGGUAGUUAUUGUUUAACCCUAUCAAAAGCUAAUAAUUGUGUCACUUUAGCCUUGGGGAAAUGAAAAACAGGAAACAUUUUAUCGAGGUGCACAGAUUCAUAAGUAAUAUUUUAAAAGGUUAUUUGAAGGGUGUUAACAGAAUUGUUUUGAACAGAACUGUGGUAAGGUAAAAGAAAAAUCUACUUUUUUGAAAAAGUAUUAAAAACCCUAGAAAUUGGCCAUUGAUACCCUAUUUCUUUAUAUACAUUGCUAAACCUGAAUGUUAUUUUUUGAACAAAAC